UUUAUUUACUUUAAAAUAUAAUUUUUUUUCAUAGCAUGAUGAUGGAAUAAAUUUGAGUGAACCAGGUUUUGAAUUUAAUGAAUCAGAUGAUGAGCUUUUGGGAGAUCUCACGCAAGAAUUUCUGGAAGACGAAGAUAAUUUAAUUGGGGAAAUCUCGCAAGGUUUUGUAGAGGCGACUCAGGUGUUUCGAAAUCUCCCUCUUUAUUAUCAAGUGGGUUCGGGAUUUGAGAAUCAGCCAGGACCUUCUAGUGGAGGAUCAGUGUUUGUGGAAGGAAAUGAAAUGAAAAGAAG